rnacentral:lncRNA from 1 species
CGCGGCUGGAAACCAGCGCAGGCGUCUUGGGCAGCUGUGUCCAUAAAUUUGAUAAAAAGUAGGGCUGGAAAUUAUCUUCGCUGCACGCUUGCUACGUUUUGUAGCAGUGCCUUUCGUGCUAAAGCGUGCUCAGCUGCUAUUACGAACCUGAAUAACGCAAACCAACCCCAGCCACCAACAGAGGUGUGCUGUUGGCAUCAGGUCAGAGGAGGACUUAUGCAUGAGGCUGAAAUUUCUGAUAUAGAGGAGAGAGGCUGGUUUGGAGCAGAGGACUGGAGUGGAUAACCAAUCCCCAGCUGAGAUUCCCACUUACACCACGUGUCGUGCGUCCUCACAGUCCUGCCUGUGUCCCGAAUUUUGGUGGGGGAAGAGCAUGUUGCUGUAUCUGAGGCUGUGAGAAGGUACAUACAAUGGUACCUAAAUUUUCUUGUGAAAAUGCUCAAUGGAUUGGUGAAGCUUUGUUUUCUGGUUGCAAUGCAUGGCUAAUCUACAGCUGUUCCAGGCAUGGCUCUUCAGCAUUUUGUUGAUUAGCAGAGCUAGUUUUUAAGUGGAAUUCCUGGAAAAAAUAUACAGCCUUUAAAGUGGUCUUUAUUGUGCCAGUACAGAGAUGACUGCACCUUAACUUAUUCCCAUUUCUGUUUCGGAAUAGCUACAUGAAGGUAAGCACAGCUAAAUCAUUCUCUAACUGCAACAGCAUUGUGCAUCUUCAGCCUUAGUGGUAUAACUGAAGUGGUUUAGUUUCUCUUUGUUGAUUAGAUCUAAACUCUGACGAGGCUAUCGUGUAGCUAUCUGCUCUUGUGAAAUAACCCACACUAAGUGUCCAAGCUGGUAUGGCGAAAUUGUUAAAACAGAUUGCUAAUAUCCUUAAUAUCUAGCUCAGCC